CGGGUGAGUAACGCGUGGGUAACCUGCCUCAUACAGGGGGAGUAACAGUUGGAAACGGCUGCUAAUACCGCAUAAGCCCACGGCUCGGCAUCGAGCAGAGGGAAAAGGAGCAAUCCGCUUUGAGAUGGCCUCGCGUCCGAUUAGCUAGUUGGUGAGGUAAUGGCCCACCAAGGCAACGAUCGGUAGCCGGACUGAGAGGUUGAACGGCCACAUUGGGACUGAGACACGGCCCAG
rnacentral:rRNA from 1 species